UCUUGGGAAUUCUGCUGUGGAGAAAUAUCAAAAUGUGAAAAGGUGGGCAGGAGGAGGCCAUGGCUAACACUUCAAUGAUUUAGAGAUCUCACAGGCCAAGGGUGGGUACUCCCUUGUGUGAUGACUGAUGUACCUCAUAAAUAUUCCAAAACAGUAGACUUUGGGGUUGCACUUCCCCCCAAAUUCCUUACCCUUUGUUCUGAGUCUUUCUGAACUUAGCAAAGUUGGUGCUGGGACAAAAGACACAGUGCCU